GUACUGCUGAACAGUCCUAAACUAAGACGAAACAGCUGUCCAGUAC
rfam:Trichobilharzia regenti genome assembly, scaffold: TRE_scaffold0063360